rnacentral:misc_RNA from 1 species
UUUCCGUAGGUGAACCUGCGGAAGGAUCAUUAUCAAAAGUCAAGUCGGGGGCUGUAAAGCUCUCGUCUACACCCAUGUCUUUUGCGUACUCUUGUUUCCUCGGUGGCGCAAGCUGCCGAUUGGACAAACCAAAACCUUUUUUGUCAAAUCUGAAUCAAAACUAAGAAAUAAGUUAAAACUUUCAACAACGGAUCUCUUGGUUCUG